UUCGGCCUCUGCUUCUUUCCCGUGGCUUCUGGAGUCUUCUAGAUGUAAGAUAAUUGCGCGGCACGUUGAUAUCUCUAUGUAAUCCCGACGUGUGGGCCUUUCUUCCGUAUUUCCUGAUACCCCCCUACAGAAAUAGACAAACACCAAAACUCGUGGAAUUCUGUCAGAUAAAACCCUAAGUCUGGAUGUUGAUUUCAUUUGGAUCCUUUUCUUUAUUUAUUUGAUAAUUAAGUUUGAUACUUAAGGACCGUCAACAGCAGACGUCAAGGUCCACACCUGAAUCAAAUGACGCACUAGAAGAAUGAACACGGUGAGAAGUCUUGUUCAGAAGACUUAAAACAUUGAACCCUCGCCGAAAGGUAAAAUCGGUAGUUAUCCAUAUUUAUCCUUUCUGCAUUUCCCUUUUUCCUUUAAUUACCUACUUUCCUUAAUUAGCUUAUUAGUUAAUCAUGCUAUCCUGAAAAGAAAAUAAAAAUGUUAAAAAUACUAAACCCC
rnacentral:lncRNA from 1 species